AAGCUCCCCUCCCCGCCCCCUCCCCUCCCCCACUGCCUCCCUGCCCGCCCGGAUCCAGCCGGGCGCCCCGUGCCGCGGUCGCGUUGCUCGGCAGAGCUGCUGCGGGCGCUCGCCGUCUCUGCGCGGGCUUGGAAUAUGGUUGGGGAAAUGGAAACCAAGGAGAAGCCGAAGCCGAGCCCCGAUUACCUGAUGCAGCUGAUGAACGACAAGAAGCUGAUGAGCAGCCUCCCCAACUUCUGCGGGAUCUUCAACCACCUCGAGAGGCUGCUGGACGAAGAAAUUAGCAGAGUACGGAAAGACAUGUAUAACGACACAUUAAAUGGUAGUACGGAGAAGAGAAGUGCAGAAUUACCAGAUGCUGUGGGACCUAUUGUACAGUUACAAGAGAAACUAUAUGUGCCUGUAAAAGAAUAUCCAGAUUUUAACUUUGUUGGAAGAAUCCUUGGGCCCAGAGGACUAACAGCUAAACAGCUUGAGGCAGAAACAGGAUGCAAGAUAAUGGUCCGAGGGAAGGGCUCAAUGAGGGACAAAAAGAAGGAAGAACAGAAUCGAGGCAAGGCCAACUGGGAACACCUGAAUGAAGAUUUACAUGUACUUAUCACUGUGGAGGAUGCCCAAAACAGAGCAGAAAUAAAGCUGAAGAGGGCUGUUGAAGAAGUAAGAAAGUUACUGAUACCUGCAGCAGAAGGAGAAGACAGCCUUAAAAAGAUGCAGCUGAUGGAGCUUGCAAUUCUGAAUGGCACCUACAGAGAUGCCAACAUCAAAUCACCAGCCCUUGCCUUUUCUCUUGCAGCAACAGCCCAGGCUCCAAGGAUUAUUACUGGGCCUGCGCCUGUUCUCCCACCAGCUGCCCUGCGUACUCCUACGCCAGCUGGCCCUACCAUAAUGCCUUUGAUCAGACAAAUACAAACCGCUGUCAUGCCAAACGGAACUCCUCAUCCCACCGCUGCAAUAGUUCCACCCGGACCCGAGGCCGGUUUAAUUUACACACCAUAUGAAUACCCCUACACGCUGGCACCAGCUACAUCAAUCCUUGAGUACCCUAUUGAACCUAGUGGUGUAUUAGGUAUGGCUUUCCCAACGAAAGGCUAAGAAUUCAAGAACGGUCUUAACUGAUCCUUCAUCAGAUCUGAAUUUUAACAAAUGCUUAGUUUUCAGCAGCCUUGAAAAAAGCUUGGCCUAGCAGUCAGUGACUUACUUGCACUUUUUUUGCACAUAGAUUUAAAAUAAAAUAGUGCUAUUAAUUUGGAUUAGGUCCUGUUAUUACAGAGUAGCUGUAAUUUAUGAGUGUAUAGUAGUAUACUGACUGCUAAGUGUUCUAUAUAGUGUUUGCUUUACUAAUCACCUAAUUCAUUGCAGUUCAUACUUAUUGACUUAAAGUUUAAAAUCACAAUCUGUAGGCUUGAAGAAUUGCUUUAAAACUUUUUUUUUUGUGUUAGAACUGGAAGUGAUCUUACGGUUAGCAAAUAAUUGUCAGUAUUAAAGAUGGCAUUAUUUAAAAUAGUCCUGCUGCAAGAAAGGCACUUCAGUGAAUAUGUGACUAGUAAAGCUUAAAUGUGCUUGGGUCUAAUAGAUUUCAUGAAAUACUGUAAUUUUGGGAUUGUAAAUGAAUGGAUUAAACAGGUUAAGGCCAGGAUGUUUAAAAUAAAUGCAAUAUUAAUCUGCACAGAUAAACUUCUUUUUAAGAUUAAGAUUUGAAACUACUGUGCCUUAACUUGUUGCUUUUCUUAAAAUGAACUUUUGUAGUUAAUGAUCAUUUAAAUCCAUUUUGAUAAACCUGCUGUUAAUGUUUUCUGUGAAUGUUUUCUAACUUUGUCUUGGUAAUUGCAAUUUGACUAGGUGCGGUGGCUACUAAAGUUCGAAGGCACGAUAUGCGUGUCCAUCCUUACCAAAGGAUUGUGACCGCAGACCGAGCCGCCACCGGCAACUAACCUAUGACCUUCUGACCUCUGAACUCUUCACCCAAUGAUGACCUGACCAUGCCUGCCUGCUGAUCAGUUAACUGGUAAACGCCUUUGCUUGCCUGUCUUCAGUGCAGCGAGCUGGGGCACUUGUCCGUUCGUCUUACCAUCUAACAAAACAGACAAAGAAAUUGUUGUCCUCCAACUCCGCUUUUUGUUGUUCUCCUGUUUGGGUGAAAGUGGUUCUAGAACCUGCACUGAAUAGUAGUAAAGCAAUAAGGUCCAACUCAUCCCUCCGCACUGAUCAUCCUCUAGUGUCCUGCCCCAAGCGAACGGUAAGGAGGCCUCGCACGAGAUGGAGACAGAUGUCCCUUAACUACCCGAUGACAGAGGCAGUUACUGUGAGAGACUUCUAGGAAUAUUUUUCUUCUCAGAAAAAAAAAAAAGAAAAAAAAAAGAAAAAAAAAAAAAGUCAAAGCUCUCUCUGAAUGUACUGUGUGAUGAUGCAUCAUGCAUGAACCUUUGGUCAGGGAUGUCAUUGGGGAAGGGAUUCCAAAAAGUAUUCAAAAUUUGAUACGCUGUUUAGUCACUACCAGUGCCCUCAAAGGGCAGAUGUUGCAGCCUUUUUUCUAUUGCCUGCCAAAUUGGACAUUUUAAAGGAAGUGUGCCGUGAAAUGCAGAUUACGAUGACUUUUCAGAACUACAUUAAUGCAGAGAACAAAAUAGAAACACUAUUAAAAAGUGAAAUACAAGUUUAAAUUGUUUUAAUCAUAUUUUAAUCUCCUUGGAAGAUUACAUGAGAACAAGGUACAUGCAUUAUGUGUCACAUUACUGGGCAAACUGUUCAAAUAUUUUUUUUAAACCUCCCUGUAUAGAAAAAUUUCAUUAAGGAUGUAAAAGCCAUGCUUGCCUAUUUGCUGUAUACAUGUAAUGAAAAUGUAGAUAAAGUGUAGUGCAUUGAAACAAAAUGAACAAAAAAGUAGAUACUUUUACUAUACAAGGGUGCUGGUGCAGAAAAAAAAAUAUAUUUUUGGAAAUGUAGCAUUUUAUACUUUCAAGUGUUAUAAAAAAAGAAAAAAAGAACAAAGAAACCCUUUAUUUCAUUAAAUGAUUUUUUCUGGUGGUUGUCAAGAAACAAAAGACCAAAAGAGCCUUUUAGUCUUUCUUUUUUAUUUUCUAAGUAUUGGAAUAAGUCUAAAGAAAAGGAAGUGCCUUAUUUUCUUCAUGGUCAUUUAGUCAAAUGUCUCGUAUAAUCAGCUUCUCCCUCAGACAAGUUACUGCAUGCCACUCAGUCGCCCAGUAUGUGAAAGAAGCUGUGAGGGAAGACAAAUGAUGAGUUGACCAUAUUAAUUACCUGAUUUUUGCCAUACUAGUGUGAUGUGACUUUGCCAAAAUCUCAUUAAGUGAAGUAUUUGCUAAGUUUUCAUCAAACCAGCCCAUUAUUAUUUCAACCACUCUACUUUUUAAAUCAUAGCAAAUGCCGUACUUGUGCAACGUAAACCAAAGGGUUCUGUGAUACAGACUGUCUCAUGCUAAAGGAGAUUAUUAGCUGACAAAUGUUUGUAGAGCUGGAAGGUAUGUCAUUUUUGUUCAGGGAUGGAGAGGAGUUUUCUUGAUCUCGCUUGAAAUAAAUAUUACAUCAGCUGUAGUAGGCUUCGGCAUCACCCAGAAAAUGGAUGCUCUGCGGAUAAUGAAACUGAAAGUGCGUAGCAAGUUUUCAGUCAGUGACUGAGCACGUCCCCAGUUUCCAGGAACAGCUCCUGCAGUGGCAAAAAGCAUGGAAGUUACUUACUUUUCAGCUCGUCUUUGACUAUUGUUAGAUCUGGCCCAUUGGCUUUUCUUCAAAAGAUAAGCAGGAGAGGGACUUCAGCCAUUUGAAGUCCAGCUAUACCUUAUUUUUAACCCUUGUUUCCACAUGAGGUUCGGAUAGCUGGGCAAUUGCAAGAGCUGAAGCUGUUGAACGCACAGUAUUUAAUUCUGAAAACAUUAAGUAUUACUUUGUGGGGCUCAGUACUAAACUUGGCAAAUAUCAGGUGAUAAUUUUAUUCCCCUCUUGUCAACUUAUUCUCCUCCUGCAAAUCUUCACAGCUUCCAAAUGAAAGGUCAAUAGUAAGCUAAGAGGGCUUACAUUUUUAAGCACCUGCAUGGUGACCUCAUCUAACAUCUUGUCUCACCUGGAAAUAAUUAUCAGUUUAUUUACUAUGCAAUAGACAUUCAUCCUUUCGUAUUCAGCUAGAAUUUUGUUUAUUGUGCCACCGGCUUUGUCUUCCUGUUACACAUACAGUUGUGUUGAUUUUAUUUACAGUAUAUGCUGUGCCAUUUUGAUUUUAUUUUGGUUGGUUGGUUGAAUAAACUUGCGACACUCGAACAUUUGAAGAGAGAUUUGCUAAAACAAUACCAGUAUUUGAUCCAGUUUCAUCUCAACUAUGAUAAAACCUGGACAUUUUAGACAUUUAUCAAAGGUCUUUUACUGGGGGGGGAGGGGAAGUGUAUGGAAUAGAUGUGUGACAUGUGAAAGUAAUGUUUGCUCUGAACAAACUUCUGAAAACUUAGUUGACAAAAUUUUGGAUCAACUUAAAAAAAAAGCAUGACUUCUGAAAUCUCUGAAUGCCUUGGUUCUCAGUAUUAUCAUUCUUUAAUGACUUUUUCUUUAUUAAAAUAAGUAGUUUUAAGACUUCUUUCUGACAGUAUUAUGUAAUUUUUUUAGAGUGGGUAGGUGGGAGUGUCGCUUGUAUGUAACCGUACAGAUGACAUGUAUUUGUCUAUUCUUUAUUAUCUUAGUAGUUUCAUGCUAUGUAUGUACCAUAACCAACCUAUUGCCUAUGAGAAACAUGUAAGAUAAUGUAUUUACAGCCAUUGUUACAAGUUUAUAAUGUAUUUUUCUAUCUUGUUUUAUAUGUAUGUUAUAUAACAUUCAAAAGAAUUUUUUUCCUGAUUGAGAAAAAAGGAUACAAAAUGCAAAACCCACAAUUUUGAUAACUGAAAAAUUGCCAAUUGUUUUGCAGUACUUUAUUAUAUUGGGAGUGUUGUCUUUCUUGGGCUUUUAGUUAGCUACUGGAUGAAUACAUUAGACAUAUUUGGGUUUUAGUUGGGUUUUUACAUAGCUUGCAUUUUAAUUCUUUGGUUCUUUGCUGUUUCUAUUAACCCAUAGCAUUAUUUUAAUAAAUGUUAUAAUACCAACCUACUAACUCUGGACUAUGUCUGUUUAUUAACCAUUACAUGUUUAAUUAAAAUAAACAAAUAAAGACGGAAGAAUGUAAAGUCUUGAGUUACUGGACUAACCCUGAAGAACGUGACCACAGAUAACACAACGUGACUUGUUUUUAUGUUGUUUGUCAGCUGACAUUCUGCACACUACUGUUAAGUUGGCUUUGGUCAUUCUGGCCUUUUACCUUAGCAAAUGGGUGCCAGUAGAAAUGGGAACAAAGUAGCAUUUUUUGAGGCAUUCUUCUUGUAGAGUCUUGCCACUUGCCUUUCAGCAUCUGCAUUACUAAUUCCACACUUUCUUUUUCUUUCUCUAAAAUAAUUACUGUUGGCUCACAGCAAAAGAGCAAAAGAUGCCAGUGUAUUGGUAAAUUGUGAUGGUGUACAGAAACCAGUUUGAUUCUUUGUUGAACCAUUCAGACGUUGCAGUUAAUGGCACGGUAAUUUGUGAUUUGUUGGUUUUGGCACCUGAUUCACUGUUGCAUCAUGUGACAUUUCUAAGCACAGAAUAUUUCUGGAUAGAAUUGCUGUACAUUGAAACACAAAACCUGGGGGUUUCCUUUGGCUAAAGUGCCUUAUUUAUGCCACGCUAUUUCAAGUAACUUUUUUUUUUUGGUACUUUUGCUGUAGUCUGUCAGUAUUGCCUAGCUCAGGGGAGUACAACUUCUGUAAGCCAAAGGUCAAACUGGAUCUUUUCCUAAUGACUGCAGAAAGUACAAAAAUACACUUUUCACUAAAUUACCAAGCAACAUCCAUUUCAAAUUCCAGAGCUGCCUUUUUGUCAUCUUUAUCCCUGUAGAUGACUGGAGCAACAUGAAUGCAGGGAAUUGAGAUGGUGAAAAUGCUGUUUUGAGUGUACGUCUAUGCAAAUAUUUUUACAGAUACGUUUCCCCUUUCUUAGAACUACACUGUCUGAGGCUGCUUUACGUUUCCCAGGUAGUUCUAGAUUUGUAACCUUGAGUCGGCAGUAAUUACCGCUAACGUCGAGGGAGAUCCACAGUGUAGAUAACUUUUCAGGUGUCAACCGUUUUCUUCCUGAAAGUCCUUUUUUUUUCCUGUAGAUAGUAAAAAUCCAGAUGAGGAAUCGGAAUCUGUUCAAAUUCCUCCUUUAAUUUAUGACUUUCAAACUAUUUAUCUUGAAAUACAUGCAAUAUAAAUAGAGUUCUCACAGUAUUGCUAGUAAUUAAAAUAUUAUGCAUCUUUAUUUUAUGGAGAAAAAUAGUCUAGCUUUGAUGAUGUUUGCUAGUUUUCUAAUGGCAUGUAGUUCUUCGUUUUACAAAAAUUUUAGGUAGAGCUGAAAUGCCAGUUUAUUUUGAAUAGUUUCACUUGUGCAGAAUUUUCUUUUUUAUUUAACAGAUCGUGUUGCUAUCCUAAAACUCAGCCACAGGCAGAUGAUAAGAAUAUUAGAUAUUUACAACAAAUAAUAUCAGGACCUUUUGACUGGGUAAUGGAACAAGUGUCUUUAUAGAGCAAAUAAUUUAUAUUCUUAAAGAAUAUUAUCAGAGGCGCACAUGUAGUUUGGUGAAGUACUCUGUACAGUAUAGGUGAAACUAUUCAUAUGGAACAAAACUUUAAUGUUUUACAUUAAAGAACACUUCUGUUACCAGAACUACUGCUUUUCUGUAAUAUUUUUAUUAUUUUGUAUUUUUAUCAAUAGAUAUUAAACUACUGUUAUACUUUG